rnacentral:misc_RNA from 1 species
UAGCGGCAACAGCGGAAGUAGC